rnacentral:lncRNA from 10 species
CAGUAGGGUAGUUUUUAAAUUGGCCAAACCCCUUUCCAAAUUAAAACCAAUGUAGAAACAUGAACUGAUGGUUCUUAGUGUGUGUGCUCUGACUGAAGUGGAGGACAGGAACCCCAGCCUCUACCUCUACUCCCAGGGUAGCACAGGACCCCUGGGUUUAAGGACCACAGCCCUGAAAACAUGAUCUGAGGCAGUCUCUCCAAGGGAAGGCCUUCGGAAGGAGACAGAACUGCUGUGAAUCUUAGGCCUGUGGCUCUCACUGCAGCCUCUUCUGAUUAGAAUCUAUCCCCUAAAGCAGAAUUUUCUAAACCUGUCUGAUCAUAAGAAUCUCCUGGGGUGCUUCGUAAACACACAGAUUCCUCAGGUCUUGCUUUGGCUCUAAUAAAUUAGACUUUUUGGUGCAGAGGCCUGGAAAGCUAUGUUUAACAGGACCCCCGGGUGAUUUCAAAGAAUGAAUACGUGUGGGAAACACUGUGGCCUAGAGGCAUGAAGCAUGUGGAUGCUCCCAACCCAACAGGGGAACCCAAUCAGGUAAAUCAGAGUUUGUAUGAACAAAUGCCUCACAGCUCAAAACAGAUGGUGACGAUACUGUACUAAAUGCUUUACGCUGUUCAUUCUUAGUUACUCUUCAACUUAUAAGGUAGAUAUAAGUAUUAUCCCCAUUUACAGGCUUAAGCGACUUGGCCAAGGUCACAAAGCUAGUCAGGAGAUGAGGCAGAAUUCAAACUCACAACUGCUGGAUUCCAGAGUCCCUGUCCUUACUGCUGCCUGGAGCGUGAGGGUCUGGGGGCCAUUCUGGUUCUUUACAGCCUGGCGCGGGAGAAAGCACCCAAGCGCACUCAGACGGGCUUGGAUUUAAAUCUCGACUGUGUGAUGGUAGGCCGAUCAAUUACAUUUCUAGACUCAGUUUUCUCCAUUGCAAAAUGCAGACGACAGGGCUGCACCAGCCAGAAUCUUGGCACAGAGCGGGUAUGUGAUAAAUGCUAGCUCCCUUCCUGUCCAGUGCAGUCUGGGAAAGUUAGUAUCUGUACACUUCUACCUACACAGAUACCACUCAGAAAGGGUUGUUGGGGUGGAGGGGAGCUGCAGGCACAGAGGAGUUAACUAGAGAACUAUCCAGCCAAUAAAGCAGAAUCAACACAAAUGGGGAUGUAAUAUCCACUUAAUGGAUUUACUAAAAAGUAGAAACAACAAAAUUGGGCUAAUGAACAUUGUCGUGGCACUUAAUUUGUUUAUGUAAACCAUGAAGCAAUAUUUUAAAAAGCUCAAGUGUAAACAUAUGCCCAAGGGUAACAACUAUGAUUAUGGUCCUCUGGAACUGUGCUGGACGAGGCUGAGUAAGCAUGGAAGACUGAAGUGUGAUCUGUCAGGGUGGUGGGAUUGAGCGGAUUUUCCCUUUGUGAGGACACUGGAGGUGGCUGGUCUGAAUGCAGUUUACAACUAAUUGCUCACAACCAGUUACCGAUUUCUUUGUCCCUUCUCCACUCCCGCUGCUUCACCUGACUAGCCUUAAUGAAAAAAAAAAAAAAAAAAAAAAGAACACUGGAGGUGUUAAAAAUUAAAAAGGCCUAAAAUUAGAUCAGAUUCAUGAAGGGCUUAGUGAACAGCAAGUGCUAUGCUGUGUUAUGGCUGCUUCUGGGCCUGCCUGGGUGCGGGUCAUGGCGGGAGGGAGGGCGUACCUUCUGUGUUCACGACGAUGAUUCCCUGCACUCCCUUCUGGCUCUGCAGUCGCUUCAGUGUCUCCUCCACCUCUGCCUGCCAGAAAACAAGACCAAGGUUAGGAGAGGCCGAUAGGCAGGAUUAACUUCCUCAUACCCCAGGCAGAUGAAUCAUACGUUUGUCUUCCAACAACAAACAAGUAAUACUCAGGCACCUGGCACACCCUCAAAGUUCCCCAGGCUGAUCUGACGUGCUCCUCCGGCCACCACCAGUGCCCAGAGCAUCCGCUCACACCCCCACGCAGGACAGGGCUGCUCCUGGCGCUCUGCCCACCAGGCACUAUUAUCCCACCCUCCUCAGCUGUUGGGGAGCAGAAUAUAAACACCAUUCCCAUGUAUAUACAUGUCCAUGACUCACAUAUUUGGCAUAGCUGGGGGAUGGGACUCUGUUGAUUUAAGAAAACUCAGAGAGUAGUAUCUAACAGGAAGACAACACUUUGUCAUUUGUGGCCCAAACAGCACAUGAGGAUAGACUCAGUGACUGCGGCAGGCAUCUGAGAUAGUGUGAUGCACAGCACUCAGCUGUAAGAAGUGUGCCUUGGGAAGGGGCUCAUUAAUCUUGAUUACCCAGAAACUGCUCUGGUGGGCUACUCUUGCAUAUGGCAUCUGUAAGUGGAGGGGCAGUCGCAGUUCGGGUCCUCAUUCUGCCAUGCCAGGCCUCCUGUCACUCCUGUCCUACCCUUCCCUCCACUCUCCAGCUCCGUGACACACCUCCCUAUCUCUACAUCUUUUUAUCCCACAAGGCCUCUUCUCUGCUGAAAUCCAACAAACUCCUCUUGACCAUCUAAGACAUCAUCUCCUCCGCGAAGCCUUUACUGAUCCCCCAGUUGAUGGAGUCUGCCUACGUGUGACUCCCCAAAUCCCUGGGUGUGCCUCUCUGGGACAUGCAUUAGGUACUAUGUCCAUUUCUUAGAGACUCUAAAAAGGUCUGUGGAGUAGAAGUGUGAUAAACACCGCUUAACUGAACUAGACUUAAUUCUUCCUGUGGAUGGAAACUAGCCCUGAGGUAUACCUGUUCUCAGGCGGCCCCUUCCAGACUGGUCUAGAAUCCAGUCAGAAGCCCCUCAAAGGCUGAGAGUUGUUAGAAACAGAGGCUCCAUUCACCAAAAGAAAUGGGGGGGGGGAUCCUCAACACUGGGUGGAGACAGCACAAUGAAUUCUUGUUUUUCUGGAAGGCACAAGGCUGACAAUCCAGUCACUGCCACCCACUCCCCUGUGACAGAAUACUCUCGAACACUGGAGGGAAGGGUAAACAAGCUCCUCCUAUAAAGUGGCAAAUGGGGCCGGUGCGGCGGCUCAUGCCUGUAAUCCCAGCACUUUGGGAGGCCGAGAUGGGCGGAUCAUGAGGUCAGGAGAUAGAAACCAUCCUGGCUAACACGGUGAAACUCCGUCUCUCCUGAAAAUACAAAAAAAAUUAGCCGGGCGUAGUGGCGGGCGCCUGUAGUCCCAGCUACUGGGGAGGCUGAGGCAGAAGAAUGGCGUGAACCCGCGGGGUGGAGCUUGCAGUAAGCCGAGAUCGCACCACUGCACUCCAGCAUGGGCGACUGGGACUCCAUUUCCAAAAAAAAAAAACAAAAAAAAAAGUGGAAAAUGGACUUAUGCCUCUAAGAUCUGGAGCCUGGGUACAAUGACAGGGCUCUGUGGACGUGAGAGUACAAUGCAGUGGGUCAUGCGUGUAUGAGAUCGAAUGUCAGUCAACACACUCACUGAGCUCCUACUGUAUGCCAACGGCUAUUCUGAAAGGGAGGAGUGGGGCACAAUAGUGGUCACUGCUGGACAGUACUCACUGGACAGUACUCAUUCUACCCUGCUCGCCCUCCUGGAAAUUCAUCAUGGACCAAAGUACAGUGACAUUUGCAAUAGCAGAAUGCAGAAAGAACUAAAAAUGCCUAACAAUUAGGGAAAAGGCCAAGUAGAUUAUGGAACAUCCACUAAUAGGAAUACACAUAUUAACCAUGGUGAUUAGACCAUGUUAUACCAUCACAAAAGGUGUGUGCUAUAAUGUUAAGUGAAAACAGCAAAAUGCAAAAAUAAAGUGCUUUGGUGACUGCAAUCACAUGAAAACAAAAGGUUACAGGAGAUUAUGAAAAAAGAGCCACAUUAAGGGCAAGGAAUUAUAGAAAGGUUUUAUUUUCUUUUUUUCAAAACACCCUUUUUCAUUCUACUGUAUUGUUUCUAUUUAAAAACAUUUUAACCCCCCAUCUAUGCAUCCAAAAGAAGUCUAUGAUACAGGGGCCACAAGGCUCUGAUACACUCAAUGUUGUCAGAAUAAGAUGUAAGAAUAACUUGGAUGACAAUUUAAGACAGCUCAAUCUGCAAUCAACCCAGAAAGAAAGGGGAAAGAAAGUGAAAACCGAGAUGUCAGAAUCUAAAUCCAAAACAGCCCCCAGAGAUUGGAGAAUGGGGCUGAAAUGAAAAAGAUGAAAUUUCUUAAGACUGCUAUUCAUUUAGUAACUACAUGGCAACCUUCCAUAUGCCAGACAUUGUUCUAGGCCUGUGAUGAUGCAGUGAACAAAAUAUAACAAAAAUCCCAUGUCACGAAACUGACAUUUGUGGGAAAGGACAUUAAAUAAGCAAAAAGAAGUAAAACAUAAAUGUCAGCUACAGCAGGGAAACGGGACCUGGAAUGCAGGGGUGAUGGGAAUGUGAAAUACAUCAUCAGAGAAGGCUCACCAAGGCAAUAGUGAGUAGACAUCUGAAGGAAAUGAGGGAGUUAGCCAUGCCGGUUUCUGGGGAGUGUUCCAGACAGCACCAAGAGCAAGCACAAAAGCCCUGGGGUGGGCAAGCAUCCGGUAUGUUCAGGGGGAAAAGCAAAGGGGCCACUGUGGCUGAAGGGCAGGGAGCAGGGGAGGGACAGCAGCUGGGAUCCGGGACCAGACCACAGACGGCCUGGCAGAUCAAGUGUUGACCUUGGUUUUCACUGGGCGUGAUUCAUGGAGCCACUGUCAAGUUUUGAGGUAAAGAGUGACAAGACCUGAUGCUUCCAAAGGACGGCUCUGGCUGCUGUGGGGAGAAGGGACAGCAGGGGGCGAACACAGCCUGCGGAAGCCUCCUACCCCUGCCCUGCCAGGUGCUGCUCUCGGUCUGAAGGAAACAAGCUUCCCUCCUUCACUCACUGCUUGAUGUAACUACCUCCCAACCCUUUGGACUCAGCUCCAGAGCCCGCAGGAGGCUUCUCUGACAUCAGCCCCUCUACUGGGCACCGAGGCCCCCAGCCUUCGCAGCACUGACCACAAUGCAGUGCAACUGUUUAGGUCACGUUCAUCUCCUCCUCCAGACGCAAGGCACCCUGGAAUCAGGAAACCAGACCAGACUUUAUAGCCCCAGUACCUCGCAUAGGAUAGGCUCAAUAAAUACUGAAGGAACAAAUAAAAAGCAUUUCUGCAACUAUGUUUCACGAAAUCAACCUUUUUAAGUACAGGAGGGGGACAUGGCCUCACAGUCCACAGUGUGAAAAAGAGCUAAGGUUUAGGUGAUCUGAAACUCAACGAGAACCAGAUACUAAGAUCUGGCUGUUUAAAAGUAAACAUGGGCUGGGCACAGUGGCUCAUGCCUGUAAUCCCAGCACUUUGGGGGACCAAAGCAGGUAGACUGCUUGAGCCCAGGAGUUUGAGACCAGCCUGGGCAACAUGGUGAAGCUUCGUCUCUACAAAAGAUAAAAAAAAUUAACCAUGCGUGGUGUCGUGUGCCUGCAGUCCCAGCUAGUUGGGAGGCUGAGGUGAAAGGAUUGCCUGAGCCCAGGAGGCCGAGGCUGCAGUGAGCCAUGAUCGCGCCAUUGCACUCCAGCCUGGAAAACAGAGUGUAAGACUCAUCAAAAAAAAAAAAAAAAAAAAAAGAAAAAGAAAAAAGAAAGAAAGAAAAAAGAAAAGUAAACACACAUCUCACACAUCUAUCAGGAAUGGGAGGACACAUAGGUAUAAUUUCCCUACUCAGCGCCUACUAUGGGUCAUAUAUUGCUUUCAGACACAUGCUCUCUUCUGAAACUCCCAUUCAUGGGUUAGUAUGAUCUCCAUGUUAGUGAUGGGGAAACAGGUUUGGAAAGGAGAAGGGUUUUGCCCAAGAACACACUGCAGGUCAACAGAAGAGCUGAAUAUACUGGUGACCACAACUGAGGAGGUCCCUGCCCUCAGGGAGCUCACAUUCUGGUGAAAGAGACUUAAACAAGUGAGCAAGAUUCUUGCAGGAUACAGGGACUAGGCUGUGGGGCAAGGGAUGCUACUCUGGCUAAUGUGGUCAGGAACACCUGAGGAGAUGUAAUCUUUUUUUUUUUUGAGAUAGGGUCUCACUCUGUCACCCAGGCGUGCCAUGGUUCGAUCAUGGCUCACUGCAGCCUUGACCUCCCAGGCUCAAGUGAUCCUCCCACUUCAGCCUCCCGAACACGUGGGACUACUGAUGUGUACUGCCAAACCCAGCUAAUUUUUUGUAGAGAUGGGGUUUCGACAUGUUGCCCAGGCUGGUCUUGAACUCCUGGGCUCAAGUGAUCUACUGCCUUGGCCUCCCAAACUGUUGGGACUACAGGCGUGAGCCACCAUUCUCGGCCAUAAGUAUGUCAUCUUUAAGCCAAGAAUCAAAUGAUGAGAAAGAAAUGCACUCUGGGCAAUGGGAUGAUGGAGACAAGGUUCCCCAAUUCUCUAGUUCCCAGAUGCACAUUCCUGACACAUGGAAAAACAAGCAGCAAUAAAGAUCCAGGAGGAUCCAUUGGCUCAGCAUAGGAGGGAUGACCACUGGAAGCAAAUGACUGACAAAGAACUAUGACCAAUUUGACCACUAAACAUAAAACUUCUGUAUAAGAAUAACUAAUCUAACAGGAUAGAAAAGUAUUUGCAUCAAAUAUAACAGACAAAAUAAAUAAAAAAAAAACACAAAAUGACUAAGAACAAUAGCAAGUCUCUAGUAGGUAGUGCACAAAAGAAUACUAGUAGAAAAUAUGCCUACGAGAAAUUACAAUCACAUCAAACCAUGGUCAUCAUCCCUCACAAACAAAUGAAAAAUUCAGCUGGGCGUGGUGCUCACACCUGUAAUCUCAGCACUUUGGGAAACUGAGGUGGGUGAAUCACUUGAGGUCAGGAGUUUGAGACCAGCCUGGCCAACAUGGGGAAACCCUGUCUCUACUAAAAAUACAAAAAUUAGCCGUCAUGGUGGCAUGGGCCUGUAAUCCCAGCUACUCAGGAGGCUGAGGCAGGAAAAUUGCUUGAACCUGGGAGGCAGAGUUUGUAGUGAGCUGAGAUCGUGCCCUCCAGCCUGGGCAACAGAGUGAGAUUCCAUUUCAAAAAAAAAAGACAGAAAUGAAAAAUUAUAGCAAUGCUGAGGUUUAUUUUUAAAUGCUGGCAUUGUUAUUACAAAACUGGCAGGUGCAAGGGCAAUACAAUCUUGACAAAGCUACAGGACAAUAUAUUGCAAGAACCAUAAAAGCACUGGUCCUUCCACCUCAGAAAUUAUUUUCCUAAGAAUUUUAUCCUGAGGAAAUAAUCUAAUAAGUAAGUUAAAAUGAAACAAAACAAGAUAUUCACAGAAGCAUCAUCACAGCACUAUUUCUACUAAUUAAGAAAUGGAAGCAGCCAGGUAUGGUGGCUCAUGCCUGUAAUCCUGGCACUUUGGGAGGCUGAGGCAGGCGGAUCACCUGAGGUCAGGAGUUUGAGACCAGCCUGGCCAACAUGGCGAAACCCUGUUUCUACUAAAAAAUACAAAAAUUAGCUGGGCGUCAUGAUGCACACCUGUUAAUCCCAGCUACUCAGGAGGCUGAGGCAGGAAAAUCACUUGAACCUGGGAGGCAGAGGUUGCAGUGAGCUGAGAUUGAGCCACUGAACUCCAGUCUGGGCAACAGAGUGAGACUCCAUCUCUAAAACAAACAAACCAAAAAGAAAUGGGAGCAACCCAAAUGUACACAGGUAAGAUAUUUGGCCAAUUAUGGUACAACUAUUUCACCGAGUAUUAUGUAGUCACUAAGUAGUUAAUCACAAAGAUGAUAUGACAACAAGGUUAAAUGUUUUUGGAUAUUAAAACAACAAAAAAAGAAAAAAAUCCCCCCAAAACUCAGCAUGCAUUAUCUUGGAAAAUAUGCAUAUGUGAACAAAAGAGGAAGGAGAACAUACAAAGAUGAAAAUAGUUAUGUGGCACAGUGAAACUGGACGAGGAGAAUUAUAUGUGAUUAUUUUUUAAUUUUAUUUAUUUAUUUUGAGACAGAGUCUUGCUCUGUUGCCCAGGCUGGAGUGCACUGGCCUGGUCUCGGAUCACUGCAACCCCCGCCUCCCGGGUUCAAGCGAUUCUAGUGCCUCAGCCUCCUGAGCAGCUGGAAUUACAGAUGCACGGCUUCCGGCUACUUUUCGUAUUUUUAGUAGAGACAGAGUUUCACCAUGUUGCCCAGGCUGGUCUCCAACUCCUGACCUCAAGUGAUCUGCCCACCUUGGCCUCCCAAAGUGCUGGGAUUAUAUGCGUCAGCCAUUGUGUCCGGCCAAUUAUAGAUGAUUUUUAUAUCAUUAUUCUAAAGGUCAGUUUCCACCUAAAAUGUAAAAUAUGCAAGCCAAAAGUGCCACUUGUAGAAAUCUAUCCUACAUAACCACUAGCAUGAGUGCAAAAAAGACAAGAACAGUUACUGCAGCAGUGUCUGGAAUAAAAAAACUAUACACCACCUAAAUGUACAUAUGGGACUAGGAUACGAUACAGACCUUAAAAAGAAUGAAGUGGACCUGCAUAUAAUAACACAGAAAAAUGUGUGAUAUUUUUAAGUGAACAGAACAAGUUGCAGAAUAAGAUAUAUACAUAUAUAUCUUAAAGUCAACUUCUGUUUUCUCUUAUUUUUUUCUCACCCAGGGUGGAGUGCAGUGGUGCAGUCACGGCUCACUGUAGCCUUGACCUCCUGGGCUCAGGCGAUCUCUCCACUUCAGCCUUAAAGUAAAGUUAACAUAUACAAAUAUAUAUAUAUUCCAGUUUCAUCUAAUAAACAGCUUAUACAUAAAUGUGCUUAUGCACCAAACACAUCUGGAAGGAAACACACCCAACUGCCAACAGAAGUUGCCACGGGGUAGUAAGAUGGGGACCACAUAAACUUUCUAUAUUAUAUCCUCUGGUACUGCUUCAAAUUGUUAACAUACAUGGUGGUUUACGCCCAUAAUCCCAGCAUUUUUGGAGGCGGAGGUGGGCGGAUCACCUGAGGUCAUGAGUUUGAGACCAGCCUGGUCAACAUGGUGAAACCCUGUCUCUACUAAAAAUAGAAAAAAAACCCUGUCUCUACCAAAAAUAGAAAAAUUAGCCAGGCAUGGUGGCAUGCUCCUGCAGUCCCAGCUACUCCGGAGGCUGAGGCAGGAGAAUCACUCGAACCCGGGAGGCAGAGGUUGCAGUGAGCUCAGAUCACACCACUGCACUCCAGCCUGGGCGAAAGGGCAAGACUCUGUUUCAAAAGAAAAAAAAAAAAAGUUAAACUAGGCAUCUAAAUUUGCAUUGCUUUUAUGAGUAUAACCACGGAGUAGCAUAAUACAGGUUCUAGAAAGCUACAGUUUAAGUAAGAAAAAGGGGGGCCAUAUAAGUGCUUGUAUAGAUGCAUAAGAAACUAACAGCUGGGUGUGGUGGCUCACGCCUGUAAUCCUAACACUUUGGGAGGCCAACGUGGGUGAAUCACUUGAGCCCAGGAGUUCAAGACCAGCCUGGGCAACAUGGCAAAACCCCAACUCUACAAAAAAAAAAUACAAAAAAAUUAGCAGGGUGUGGUGGCGUGCACCAGUAGUCCCAGAUACUUGGGGAAUUAAGGCAGGAGGAUCACUUGAGCCCAGGAGGGUCAAGUUUGCAAGAAAAAAAAAAAAAGAAACUAACAAUGGUUGUUUCUAAAGGAGGAGAGACUGAGACUGGGGGUUAGGAGAGUGGGAAUUUUAUUUUUCACUUAGAUCCUUUUACAUCAUUUAUUUUUUUACUGUGUGCAAGUAUUACCUGUAAACAAUCCUAAAAUUCGUAUGGAACCACAAAAGACUCAGAAAAGCCAAAAGAAGCCUGGACGAAAAGAACAAAGCUUGAGGUAUCACACUACCUGAUUUCAAAAUAUACCAGAAAGGUAUAGUAACCAAAAGAGCAUGGUAUUGGUAUAAAACACAGACCAAUGGAAUAGAAUAGAGGACCCAGAAAUAAAUCCACUUAUUUACGGCCAACUGAUUUUCGACAAAGGCAUCGAAAAAACAAAACAAAACAAAAACAACAACAAAAACGAAAAAAAAAACCUACCAUAAAUCAGCAAUACCACUACUGGGUAUUUAUUCAAAGGAACGGAAAUUAGUACAUCAAAGGCAUCCCUACAUCCUCAUGUUCAUAUUGCAGCACUAUUCAUAAUAGCUAAAUUAUGGAAUUAGCGUCCAUCAAUAGGUAAAUGGAUAAAGAAAAUGUGGGCCAGGCGUGGUGGCUCACGCCUGUAAUCCCAGCACUUUGGGAGGCUGAGGCGAGCAGAUCACGAGGUCAGGAGAUCGAGACCACCGUGUUGAGGCGGACUAACACGGUGAAACCCCGUCUCUACUAAAAAUACAAAAAAUUAGCUGGGCGUGGUGGUGGGCGCCUGUAGUCCCAGCUACUCGGGAGGCUGAGGCGGGAGAAUCACUUGAACCUGGGAGGCGGAGGUGGCAGUGAACUAAGAUGGUGCCACUGCACUCCAGCCUGAGCGACAGAGACACACUCCAUCUCAAAAAAAAAAAAAAAAAAAGAAAUAAUGAAUGUUUAAGGUGAUGGAUAUUCUAUAAUAAAUAUAGCCUGAUUUGAUCAUUACACAUCAUAUGCAUGUAUCAAAAUAUUACAUGUAUAUCUACAACAUAAAUGUGUACAACUAUUAUAUAUCAAUUUUUUUUACAGCUUAAGAAGUGAUGUGAAAAAUGAAGUUAUACAUAUUUGAAGCAUUAUUACAUGUUUGUAAUGAUGUGGAGAUAUUGUGGUGUAAUAAUGAAAAACACAGAACCCACAAUUGCACAUUCAAUAGGGGCUAAACUGUAUAAACCAAAAACAAGCAAAAAAGACUAGAAGUCAUAUGACUACUGUAAGUGGUUGCCUCUAGGUGAUGACACGGUUUCUUUUUUCAAUUUUUUUAUUACAAGCUCUAGAUUUCUAAAUAAGAUUUUUGAAAAAGUAAUAUAUUCACAUGGCUUAAAAUUUGAAACUUUUUCAAAUUUUGCCCAAGCUGUGAGGAUUACAAACACAAAACCUGUAACGGCGUUGAGAACCCACAGCUGCAGCAAGCAAGGUAGAAAGCAAGCUUUGGGAUCCCCAAGAGCAGACCCCGCCCGUUCCUGACUCUGGCACCCAGUCCCAGCGGCUAGAAAGAACCACGCCGACAGAGUGGCGGCCGUCAAGCUUCUAGGGUUCAAAUCCAUCUCCACUAUUUCCUGGGGCAAAGCACUUGGCUUCUCGGGGCGCUGAAUAACAGAUAUGU